rnacentral:rRNA from 1 species
UACGUAGGGUGCAAGCGUUGUCCGGAAUUAUUGGGCGUAAAGAGCUCGUAGGCGGUCUGUCGCGUCUGCUGUGAAAACCUGGGGCUUAACCCCGGGCCUGCAGUGGGUACGGGCAGACUAGAGUGCGGUAGGGGAGACUGGAAUUCCUGGUGUAGCGGUGAAAUGCGCAGAUAUCAGGAGGAACACCGGUGGCGAAGGCGGGUCUCUGGGCCGUAACUGACGCUGAGGAGCGAAAGCGUGGGGAGCGAACAGG